rnacentral:rRNA from 1 species
UACGUAGGGGGCAAGCGUUGUCCGGAUUUAUUGGGCGUAAAGAGCGUGUAGGCGGCCAAGCAGGUCCGCUGUGAAAACUCGAGGCUCAACCUCGAGACGUCGGUGGAAACCGUUUGGCUAGAGUCCGGAAGAGGAGAGUGGAAUUCCCGGUGUAGCGGUGAAAUGCGCAGAUAUCAGGAGGAACACCGGUGGCGAAGGCGGUUCUCUGGGCCUGUACUGACGCUGAGGAGCGAAAGCGUGGGGAGCGAACAGG